rnacentral:misc_RNA from 1 species
CCUACGGGUGGCUGCAGUCGAGAAUCUUCGGCAAUGGACGAAAGUCUGACCGAGCGAUGCCGCGUGCGGGAUGAAGGCCCUCGGGUUGUAAACCGCUGUCGUAGGGGAGGAAGUUGUUGGGGGUACUCCCCCAUCAUUGACCUAUCCUAGGAGGAAGUACGGGCUAAGUACGUGCCAGCAGCCGCGGUAAUACGUACCGUACGAACGUUAUUCGGAAUUACUGGGCUUAAAGGGUUUGUAGGCGGCCUUGUAAGUCAGGUGUGAAAUCCCUCGGCUCAACCGAGGAAUAGCGCUUGAUACUGCAAGGCUUGAGGGAGACAGGGGUAAGCGGAACUGAUGGUGGAGCGGUGAAAUGCGUUGAUAUCAUCAGGAACACCGGUGGCGAAAGCGGCUUACUGGGUCUCUUCUGACGCUGAGGAACGAAAGCUAGGGUAGCGAACGGGAUUAGAUACCCUGGUAGUC